rnacentral:tRNA from 1 species
GGUGCUCAGUGGUAGAGCGUGCGCCUAGCACAGGUGAGGCCCUGGGUUCAAUCCCCAGCACCA